AGUGAACGCUGGCGGUAGGCCUAACACAUGCAAGUCGAACGGCAGCACAGUAAGAGCUUGCUCUUACGGGUGGCGAGUGGCGGACGGGUGAGGAAUACAUCGGAAUCUACUUUUUCGUGGGGGAUAACGUAGGGAAACUUACGCUAAUACCGCAUACGACCUACGGUUGAAAGCAGUGGAUCUUCGGACCUUGCGCGAUUGAAUGAGCCGAUGUCGGAUUAGCUAGUUGGGGGGGUAAAGGCCCACCAAGUCGGCGAUCCGUAGCCGGUCUGAGAGGAUGAUCAGCCACACUGGAACUGAGACACGGUCCAGACUCCUACGGGAGGCAGCAGUGGGGAAUAUUGGACAAUGGGCGCAAGCCUGAUCCAGCCAUACCGCGUGGGUGAAGAAGGCCUUCGGGUUGUAAAGCCCUUUUGUUGGGAAAGAAAAGCAGCAGGUUAAUACCCCGCUGUUCUGACGGUACCCAAAGAAUAAGCACCGGCUAACUUCGUG
rnacentral:rRNA from 1 species